UGCCGGGUGGUGUAACGGCAGCACGACUGACUCUGGAUCAGUUAGUCCUGGUUCGAAUCCAGGCCCGGCAGCUA
rnacentral:tRNA from 1 species